CGAGACAAUGAAUUGAAAAACCGUGGAGAAGAAAGACACCUGAGGGAGGCAGUUGGUGAGCGCGCGCAUGGAAAGGUCCAUCUUGCUAUUUGCAAAGUUAACACAUUCAAAGGCUUUAUAAUGACUGCUCUCAAAACAGACUGCUGCAUAAAAACGGCAUGAAUUAAGAUGCCAUCAAGGAGGCCAUUAAAGACACCACUGUUGGUAUUUAUGUUCUUAAACAACAUACAGUAGUGGUUAUGCUGCUCGGACUGAUGUAUGCUCUAAACCUCAGCUACCCUGCCAACCGUCGCUUCACGUUUGAGGUUGUUCCAUAGAUUUUUAUGGAACCGGAUGGAGGAAACAGGAGUACCCGGAGGAAACCCACAAAGCACGGGAGAACAUGCAAACUCAAUCCAGACAGAGACGGGAAUCGAGCCUGGUCGGGAAUCGAACCUGGAGGUGCAAGGCGACAGUGCUAACCACUAUACCACCACAGACUACAGUAGUUCAAUGAAAAGGUUACAGAGUCUGAAUUUAACACAAAUAGAUAGUUUAAAUUUUAUGAACACUUGAAUUGUUCAUAAAGGCAUUGCUACUAUAUAUUAUUAGCAUUUUUUUUAUGAAUUCACUGUAACUUUACAAUGUUUUCUUUUAUGAAUUCAUUAUUUAAACAGGUUUUUAACAUUUUUGGUUUGCAGAGUUAGCAAAACAGUUUUUUUUUUUUUUAGGGAUGCACCGAAAUGAAAAUUCUGGGCCAAAAACGAAACCGAAAUUUUUGGAUGCACUUGGCCGAAAACCGAUACCGAAACCGAAAAUGGCUUCAUUAAAAAAACGUUUAAAAUAUUUUCUUUUUGUUUGUAUUAAAAAAAUGUUGCAUAUUGCAACUUUGCUGUCCUCAUCUGAAACUUUGAAGUGCUUCCAAACCGCCAACAUACUCCGUGUUUAAUGCGUAAUGACAGCGCGAACGAGACGGGAGGAUGGGAGAGGCGUGGCGACAAUUUCGGCUUUUAUUUUCGGCGCUUUCUUACGUUUCGGCCGAAACCGAUAAUGCUAUUUCGGCCGAAAAUUUUCGCCGGCCGAAAUUUCGGUGCAUCCCUAGUUUUUUUAUUUGCUAUAUUGAAUAUAUAUAUAUAUUUUUUAGAGUUAUUCCUUAUCAAAGGUUGUUUACGCUGGGUUGUCUUUUUAGUGGUUUAGCCAUUUAUAAUAAUUUGCCUUAUUCACUUAUGUUGCCACAUUUAGUGAAUUUUCUGUGAAAUUAUUUUUCUUCAAAAUUUACUUUGUAACUCUUUACACUUGCAUUUUGCUGUGACAGUAAAUUAUACAUGAUUUGAUGCAAUGUCUGGUUUGCAAAGUUUUAAUGGUCAGUAGAGCAUGUUUGU